rnacentral:tRNA from 1 species
UCGGGAUAGCUCAGCUGUAGAGC